UCUCCGUUGGUGAACCAGCGGAGGGAUCAUUAAAGAGUUCUAUAACUCCCAAAACCCAUGUGAACAUACCCUACGUUGCCUCGGCAGGUCGCGUCUACCUCGUAGCGCCCUACCCUGUAGGGCCUACCCGGCAGACCCGGGUAAGCCUGCCGGCGGCCCACGAAACUCUGUUUAAUAUUGAAUUCUGAACCUAUAACUAAAUAAGUUAAAACUUUCAACAACGGAUCUCUUGGUUCUG
rnacentral:misc_RNA from 1 species